GAGAGUUAGAAAACACAGAUAACAUCUCUUCAAAUGCUUUCAAAUCCUGGCACACACUUCGGUCAAUUGCAGCAGAGCUCGCCUGUCACAUAGUAGGUCCUCACGGCAACCACCACAGAAGCCACUCGAACCUACAUUCGACUCUGACCGCAACUCCUAUUUGACAAACCCUAUCCAUUUUCUUUACCUUGGAAUCCUAAGCCUAGGGCGAUCACUUUAGGACCAGAAUCGUAAAAUAAAAAUGUGGACCUCUGCACAUUGGAACAGGAUGCAUUCCACCGAAUGGAGGUGGACUGUCAGCUCGCGUAUUUGAGGAGAAAGAGAGCACAAGCAGGGGAAGCAGCAGAGGGAGAGGGAGAAGAAGACUCCCCGCUGAGCAGGGAGCCUGAUGAGGGGCUCGAUCCCAGGACCCUGGGAUCAUGACCUGAGCUGAAGGCAGCCGCUUAACUGAGCCACACAGGCACCCCUAAAAGACCCCAAAAUAUAAAGACAAGCUCACUAGGUAACAUGUGUCUGGGAUAACUAUCUCUCAGAAGGCUUCCAGAAGUUACCUAUGCUACAGUGAGAUUUUGAAUUUGCUUAACUGAUGACAUGAAGGUCCAAGGCCCACAACCAGAUAAGCAGAAAGCAGCCACGCUAAAAUGCAGUCAUGAGAAACCACCUCUAAACUUCCGAAGAUGACUGCUUCUGAGACUGGAUUCAAACAAAGCAGCAUUUGAAGGGCCCCACUGGCUUGCGUAAUGAAGUCAACGCAGGACUCAAAGGAUACAGAGAAGCAGUCUGUCAAUGAGUGAACCUUCGUGGGUUCGUGUUCCCAUUCAUCUCACCUUAUUUAUGGCGUAUUUAAUGAAUGUUCAUGGAGGAUCUACUGUGGGUCAGGUGCUGUGCCAAGCCCUGGUGACAAACGGCUGCCUCAGAACGCUUCCCUUGAGUUCUUUCUGAUCCCUUAUCCAUCUUCCAGAAGCCUUUUCUUCCACGUCUACAGUAUCAAAAACCUUUGUAACAUUACAAGAAGCAUCCUUGUUUCAUAUUUGGAUACCACCUAAAACAGACAGAUGGCCAGUACGAGGAAGUGCUUCGUCAUUAUCUAAAUUCUAAGAAGUUUUAUCAAAACGAGCUGGGCAAUAGAUACGCAAAUGCCGUGACUUACCUGAGAGAAAGCACGUGAGGAGUGGAAGGCCAGGCACCCACGUGCUCCCUUCUGGAGCUCUACAAUGAGAUUCCUUCUGCUCACUGUACAAACGCCGAACUGUGCGCUCUCUCUCUAAGUGCCAGGUCUUAAUUCCCACGGGCCUGCGGACACCUGCACCGGAUAACCCACGCACAUUCGAGCUGUGCGCAAGAGAACCUAGCAUCCUCCUCCCUGAAGCUGCUGCCCCUGCCCCGUGUCUUCCCUGCUCAGGGUCACUGUGUUUUACAGAUUUCAGGGCCACUUCUGACCGUUGCGGGGAUUCUCCCCAGAGCCACCUGUCGGAGCUCGCUUUUGGGAGAGUUUCAGGUUUCCACAAGGAAGGAAAGGAGAUACCGACACAUCCUGCUUCGAAACUUCAGCCUGUCACCCCAAAUCCCUGUCCUGGAGGAAGAGGAAGGAUUUCACGUUGGCCAGGCUCCACGAUACUUGGCCUGUGUUGAAUGAUGGUUUCUCUCAGCCAAGUACCAGGCUGAGCUGUGAGGAGGAGGCUGAGACACACCGAACAUGUUCUGGAAGUAUGUUGAUUUGUAUGUAAGUGCAUAGAAAACGAGGGAGAUGCAUCACACUAACAGGUAAUAAUAGGGGAAACGGAGUGUGGAGGCUAGGCAGGAACCCUGUACUGUCUUCACCAUGUUUCUGUGAAUCCAAAACUGUUCUAAAAAAUAA